rnacentral:rRNA from 1 species
UACGUAGGGUGCAAGCGUUAAUCGGAAUUACUGGGCGUAAAGCGUGCGCAGGCGGUUUUGUAAGUCUGACGUGAAAUCCCCCGGGCUCAACCUGGGAAUUGCGUUGGAGACUGCAAGGCUGGAGUCUGGCAGAGGGGGGUAGAAUUCCACGUGUAGCAGUGAAAUGCGUAGAGAUGUGGAGGAACACCGGAUGGCGAAGGCAGCCCCCCUGGGUCAAGACUGACGCUCAUGCACGAAAGGCGUGGGGAGCAAACGAGG